GGCUCCGUAGCUCAGCUGGAUAGAGCGUUUGACUUCGAAUCAAUAGGUCGGGGGUUCGAAUCCCUCCGGGGUCACCA
rnacentral:tRNA from 3 species